GAUGAACGCUGACAGAAUGCUUAACACAUGCAAGUCCACUUGAACUUCGGUUUGGGUGGCGGACGGGUGAGUAACGCGUAAAGAACUUGCCUCACAGCUAGGGACAACAUUUGGAAACGAAUGCUAGUACCUGAUAUUAUGAUUUUAGGGCAUCCUAGAAUUAUGAAAGCUAUAUGCGCUGUGAGAGAGCUUUGCGUCCCAUUAGCUAGUUGGAGAGGUAACGGCUCACCAAGGCGAUGAUGGGUAGCCGGCCUGAGAGGGUGAACGGCCACAAGGGGACUGAGACACGGCCCUUACUCCUACGGGAGGCAGCAGUGGGGAAUAUUGGACAAUGGACCAAGAGUCUGAUCCAGCAAUUCUGUGUGAACGAUGAAGUUUUUCGGAAUGUAAAGUGCUUUCAGUUGGGAAGAAAAAAAUGACGGUACCAACAGAAGAAGUGACGGCUAAAUACGUG
rnacentral:rRNA from 1 species